rnacentral:rRNA from 1 species
CCUACGGGAGGCAGCAGUGGGGGAUAUUGCACAAUGGGGGGAACCCUGAUGCAGCGACGCCGCGUGGGUGAAGAAGCGCCUCGGCGCGUAAAGCCCUGUCAGCAGGGAAGAAAAUGACGGUACCUGAAGAAGAAGCCCCGGCUAACUACGUGCCAGCAGCCGAGGUAAUACGUAGGGGGCAAGGGUUAUCCGGAUUUACUGGGUGUAAAGGGGGCGCAGGCGGCGAUGCAAGCCAGGAGUGAAAGCCCGGGGGCCAACCCCGGGACGGCUCUUGGAACUGCGUGGCUGGAGUGCAGGAGGGGCAGGCGGAAUUCCUGGUGUAGCGGUGAAAUGCGUAGAUAUCAGGAGGAACACCGGUGGCGAAGGCGGCCUGCUGGACUGCAACUGACGUUGAGGCCCGAAAGCGUGGGGAGCAAACAGGAUUAGAUACCCUUGUAGUC